rnacentral:lncRNA from 1 species
GAAGCCUGUUCUUGUUUAUCGGUUUGUACGGAACUUCACCCGCGGUAGAGUACGGCCUGAGAAUUUUGUUCCAGCACCGGUGUGAGGAAAACAUCUGAGCCCAUGAAUUGCCAGACCCUGGAUACCUGAGACACAUCCACUUGCUUCUCAGGUUUGGAGUGCAUAAUGAGGAGAAAUAAAAACAGAAAGAUCUCCAGAAAGAAGCCAUGGUAAGAUUCAAGGUUUCACAGUCCAAGCUAAUGCCUGUGGACACUUGACCAAGUGAUCUGAGAAAAUUGGAUUUCUGGCAAAACAAGUGUACCUAGACUCAGGCAAGGGUGGAGAACAGAGGGCGACUAGAUUAAAUGGAAAGAAUGCCCAGGCAUCCCAUUGCCUCCCUUUGACGUUCCAGAACUUCAUCAAGACAGUGAUGAGCUACAUGUACACCUGGAGGAGGACCAUGCAGAAUACCAUCCAGCGCCAUGAACACUAGUCAGUCAGUCAGUAAUGGUGGGCUUCUUGGUGUGCUCCAGCUCAAUUUUCUCAUGUUUGAUGAUUAGUUCAGGAUCAAGCUCAGAAGCGCACAGCUGCCAGCAAGCAGUCUACUACUGAACUGCACCAUCUCUCCAGCCUGUGCUUACUCUUGAAUAGCCCCAAAGUAGUCAAUGGUGUGGGCCCUGAAAGGAACUGUAUACCUGCUCUGCCCAUGACUGCUUCUGCCUCUACCUCAAUGUACUGUAACUGUUUAACAAGGUUGCUCUGGCUCAGGCUGAGAAAUUGACUCCACCCUUACCCUGACGCCUGGCAUGUCCACAUGUGGUCCUGUGUAGUCAGCAACCCCAGAGAACAAGUUACAAGAAAUUAAAGACACGGAAUUCCAAAGGACAAUACAUGUUCAACAAGCUCAAACCAUUCAGAGAGGGCACAGAAUGAAAUUAAAGACAACAGGAAUAAAAUUCUGGGAGUCCAAGUAUACAAAAACACAGCUCAGCAACACAUGGAACAGCAAGACUGUAAAUUCUCAGUCCAGCUAUGGAUAAUUUAGGAUCCUUUGUAGGGCUAUUUGGUACUGGACAACCAAUUGGAGUGUUGUUUGCGGGGGAGGACCACCUCUCCAGGUAGAAUCUAAACAUCAGAAAAUCAACAACCCAGUUAAAAUAAUCUAGAGCACUAACCAGAGCGUUCUCAGAAGAAGCACUACAAACGGCUAAGAAACACGAGACUGCUCAACAUCCUUUGCCAUCAGGGAAACACAGAAGCUCACUUUUCAGUUUUCAUCUUUCUGGAGUCAGAAUGGUUAUCGUCAAGAAUGCCAGUGACAUGGAUGUAGAGGACGGAUUCCUUCAUUGUCUAAGUCUCUGGAAAUAGUGCAGAAGAGUAGUCAGGGACUAAAAGAUGGAAGACAGAAAGGGCUGCAAAGUUCCAUCCUAGAGACUCAAUACAGCCAUUGCAAUGAUGAACUCACAAAAACUGCAUUUACCUGAACUUAGCCUGCUCAAGACAUUGAAAGUGUUUCAAAGUAGCUUUUCCUGUUGUGAAUGUACCUCUCAGCUAGUCUGGUUUCUGGUUCAGAGCUCUUAGGCACAGAGUUGUCUUGAACAUUUGCUUACAGGCACUUGUGUAGAUAUCAGCUGCUUUUUUUUGUUAAAUCUCUGAAAUAAAUGCCUAGGCGUUCAAUGGCAAUGUUAUAUCAGUAUGUAUUUAGCUUAGUUUUAAAAUAAGAAACUGUCAAAUACUUUUGUAGAAUUACUGGACCAUUUUACACCCCUGCCAACAAAGUAAGAUUGAUCCAGCUCCCCACAUUCUCAUAAACAUUUGUUUUUGUUUCUUUAAGAAGACAAGUUAACCAUUCCAUUUAUUGAGAAUUUACUUACCAUUCAGUGCAUUGCUUAGAUAUGUAGUAUUCAGUUUUUAGUACACAUACAAGGUUGUGUAUCGAUUACUACUAAUUCCAGAACAUUUCCAUUACCAUAGAAAAAGAAACCCAAUAUUCAUUUUCAUCUCUCCUCUAUGGACUUACCUAAUCUAGAUAUACCAAAUAAAUGGAAUUUUUAUAAAAUAUGA